CCCUUAGACGUUCUGGGCCGCACGCGCGCUACACUGACCAGUGCAACAAGCAUCCGUCCUUGGCCGACAGGCUCGGGCAAUCUUUGAACAUCGAUCGUGAUCGGGAUAGAUUCUUGUAAUUUUUGAUCUUAAACGAGGAAUUCCUAGUAAACGCAAGUCAUCAGCUUGCAUUGAUUACGUCCCUGCCCUUUGUACACACCGCCCGUCGCACCUACCGAUUGAAUGGUCCGGUGAAAUCUCCGGACUGGCGUGAGUCGGAGCAAUCUGACAAACACCGGAAAGUUGAUUAAACCUUACCAUUUAGAGGAAGGUGAAGUCGUAACA
rnacentral:rRNA from 1 species